rnacentral:rRNA from 1 species
GAUGAACGCUAGCGGCAGGCUUAACACAUGCAAGUCGAGGGGCAGCACGGGUAGCAAUACCUGGUGGCGACCGGCGCAAGGGUGCGUAACGCGUGAGCAACAUGCCCGUAUCAGGGGAAUAAUCCAGGGAAACUUGGUCUAAUACCCCAUAGUAAAUAUUAAAGGCAUCUUUAAUAUUUUAAAGCUUUGGUGGCUAGGGAUUGGCUCGCGUGAAAUUAGCUAGAUGGUAAGGUAACGGCUUACCAUGGCUACGAUGUCUAGGGGUUCUGAGAGGAAGAUCCCCCACACUGGAACUGAGACACGGUCCAGACUCCUACGGGAGGCAGCAGUGAGGAAUAUUGGACAAUGGAUGGAAAUCUGAUCCAGCCAUGCCGCGUGCAGGAAGACGGCCCUAUGGGUUGUAAACUGCUUUUAUAUGGGAGCAAUAAGGCCUACGUGUAGGUUGAUGAGAGUACCAUAUGAAUAAGCACCGGCUAACUCCGUGCCAGCCGCCGCGGUAACAC